rnacentral:rRNA from 1 species
UGCGUAACACGUAUACAAUCUACCUAAAACAGGGGGAUAGCCUUUCGAAAGAGAGAUUAAUACCCCGUAACAAAUUGAAUGGCAUCAUUUGAUUUUGAAAGCUCCGGCGGUUUUAGAUGAGUAUGCGUCUGAUUAGCUAGUUGGUGAGGUAACGGCUCACCAAGGCAACGAUCAGUAGGGGAUCUGAGAGGACUAACCCCCACACUGGUACUGAGACACGGACCAG